GCAUACGGUGGAUGCCUUGGCAGUCAGAGGCGAUGAAGGACGUGUAAAUCUGCGAAAAGCGUAGGUGAGGUGAUAAAACCCGUUAUAACCUACGAUGUCCGAAUGGGGAAACCCGGCCUUAGGGUCAUCUGUAACUGAAUUCAUAGGUUGCAGAAGCAAACGAGGGGAACUGAAACAUCUAAGUACCCUCAGGAAAAGAAAUCAAUUGAGAUUGCCUUAGUAGCGGCGAGCGAACGGGUAACAGCCGAUGGUUUAUGUUGUAGUGGAAUCUUCUGGGAAGUUGAGCGAUACAGGGUGAUAGCCCCGUACACGAAGCAACAUAAAGCACAUAUUAAGUAGGACGGGACACGUGUUAUCUUGUCUGAAGAUGGGGGGACCAUCCUCCAAGGCUAAAUACUCCUAACUGACCGAUAGUGAACCAGUACCGUGAGGGAAAGGUGAAAAGCACCCCGACGAGGGGAGUGAAACAGUUUCUGAAACCGGACGCCUACAAGCAGUCGGAGCCUCCUUGAGAGGUGACGGCGUACCUUUUGUAUAAUGGGUCAUCGACUUGGUCUAUCUAGCAAGCUUAAGCCGUUAGGUGUAGGCGCAGCGAAAGCGAGUCUUAAUAGGGCGCAUGAGUUAGAUGGAUCAGACCCGAAACCGAGUGAUCUAGGCAUGAUCAGGAUGAAGGUAAGGUAACACUUACUGGAGGUCCGAACCCACACCUGUUGAAAAAGGUCGGGAUGAAUUGUGCCUAGGGGUGAAAGGCCAAUCAAACUCGGAGAUAGCUGGUUCUCCGCGAAAUCUAUUUAGGUAGA
rnacentral:rRNA from 1 species